GCGGGGGUGGCAGAGCCUGGUCAAAUGCGCUAGCUUGAGGGGCUAGUCCCUUAGUGGGUGCGCGCGUUCGAAUCGCGUCCCCCGCA
rnacentral:tRNA from 1 species